rnacentral:rRNA from 1 species
GACGAACGCUGGCGGCGUGCUUAACACAUGCAAGUCGAACGGAAAGGCCCUGCUUUUGUGGGGUGCACGAGUGGCGAACGGGUGAGUAACACGUGAGUAACCUGCCCUUGACUUUGGGAUAACUUCUGGAAACUGGGGCUAAUACCGGAUAGGAGCUCCUGCUGCAUGGUGGGGGUUGGAAAGAUUCGGCGGUGGGGGAUGGACUCGAGGCUUAUCAGCUUGUUGGGGGGGUAGUGGCUUACGAAGGCUGUGACGGGUAGCCGGCCUGAGAGGUUGAACGGCGACCAGGCGACUGAGAUACGGAGCAGUCGCGUACGGGAGGCAGCAGGGGGGAACAUUACACAGCGGGCGGGAGUGUGAGACAGAAACCUCGGGUGCGGGAUGAUGUGCUAUGGGGUGUAAACAGCUGUCGCAGGUGACGAAGCGGGAGUGACGGUAAUGGGUAAAGAAGCACCGGCUAACUACGUG